rnacentral:miRNA from 1 species
GCCCGCUUGCUCUCUCACUUUC